AUUGAACGCUGGCGGCAUGCCUUACACAUGCAAGUCGAACGGCAGCACGGGAGCAAUCCUGGUGGCGAGUGGCGAACGGGUGAGUAAUAUAUCGGAACGUGCCCGGUCGUGGGGGAUAACGUAGCGAAAGCUACGCUAAUACCGCAUACGAUCUACGGAUGAAAGCGGGGGAUCGCAAGACCUCGCGCGAUUGGAGCGGCCGAUAUCAGAUUAGGUAGUUGGUGAGGUAAAGGCUCACCAAGCCGACGAUCUGUAGCUGGUCUGAGAGGACGACCAGCCACACUGGGACUGAGACACGGCCCAGACUCCUACGGGAGGCAGCAGUGGGGAAUUUUGGACGAAUGGGCGCAAGCCUGAUCCAGCAAUGCCGCGUGCAGGAUGAAGGCCUCGGUU
rnacentral:rRNA from 1 species